GUGGGGAAUUUUGCGCAAUGGGGGAAACCCUGACGCAGCAACGCCGCGUGAGUGAUGAAGGCCUUCGGGUCGUAAAGCUCUGUCAGAGGGGAAGAAGUGUGGGGUGGCUAAUAUCCAUUUCACUUGACGGUACCUUCAAAGGAAGCACCGGCUAACUCCGUGCCAGCAGCCGCGGUAAUACGGAGGGUGCGAGCGUUGUUCGGAAUUAUUGGGCGUAAAGCGCGUGUAGGCGGUUUUUUAAGUCUGAUGUGAAAGCCCUGGGCUCAACCCGGGAAGUGCGUUGGAAACUGGGAGACUUGAAUACGGGAGAGGGCAGAGGGAUUCCUGGUGUAGGAGUGAAAUCCGUAGAUAUCAGGAGGAACACCGGUGGCGAAGGCGGCUGCCUGGACCGAUAUUGACGCUGAGACGCGAAAGCGUGGGGAGCAAGCAGGAUUAGAAACCCCGGUAGUCC
rnacentral:rRNA from 1 species